GACGAACGCUGGCGGCGUGCUUAACACAUGCAAGUCGAGCGGAGCGGCGAACGGGUGAGUAACGCGUGAGUAACUGGCCCCCUCCCUGGGAUAACAGUUGGGAAAGGCUGGUAAUACCGGAAAGUGGGGGCUGACUCGCGUCCUAUCAGCUUGUUGGUGGGGUAGUGGCCUACCAAGGGGACGACUGGUAGCCGGCCUGGGAGGGAGACCGGCCACCUUGGGCUGAGAUACGGCCCAAACUCCUACGUGGGGCAGCAGUGGGGAACCUUGUACAAUGGGGGAAACCCUGAUGCAGCAACCCGCGUGCGGGAUGCCCGCCUUCGGGUUGUAAACCGCUGUCAGCCAUGACGCGGUAGUGGCAGAAGAAGCACCGGCUAACUACGUGCCAGCAGCCGCGGUAAUUC
rnacentral:rRNA from 1 species